UUAGUAACGUUGAUGGGGAGCAGUAAGCGGUGUAACCCUGCAGAGAGCCGCCGGUUGGUGUAAGGCGGUGGGCUAAAUUGCUGAAUCUCGCCCCGGAGUUGUUUGGAGGAAAUCCUAUUACUUCAAACCGGGUGUGCCCGUUACAGCUUUUAAGGGGAUAAGUUGCACACUUAUCAACUGGGGUGGUACCGCGGGAGUAACCUCUCGUCCCUUUU
rnacentral:ncRNA from 1 species